UACGUAGGGUGCGAGCGUUGUCCGGAAUUAUUGGGCGUAAAGAGCUCGUAGGCGGUCUGUCGCGUCGAUCGUGAAAACUUGGGGCUUAACCCUGAGCUUGCGGUCGAUACGGGCAUGACUGGAGUUCGGCAGGGGAGACUGGAAUUCCUGGUGUAGCGGUGAAAUGCGCAGAUAUCAGGAAGAACACCAAUGGCGAAGGCAGCUCUCUGGGACGGUACUGACGCUGAGACGCGAAAGCGUGGGGAGCGAACAGG
rnacentral:rRNA from 1 species